UACGGGGGGGGCAAGCGUUGUUCGGAAUUACUGGGCGUAAAGGGCUCGUAGGUGGCCAACUAAGUCAGACGUGAAAUCCCCCGGCUUAACCUGGGAACUGCGUCUGAUACUGGGAAGCUUGAGUUCGGGAGAGGGAUGUAGAAUUCCAGGUGUAGCGGUGAAAUGCGUAGAUAUCUGGAGGAAUACCGGUGGCGAAGGCGGCAUCCUGGACCGAAACUGACGCUGAGGCGCGAAAGCUAGGGGAGCAAACGGG
rnacentral:rRNA from 1 species